AAUAAAAGGGGUAUGAUUUAACUAUAUAUAGUAAUGUCAAAUGGGUGGGCUAUAAAUGGGUGGCCCGUGUCCAAAUAGAUAUGGACCGAAAUGGACAAGCCCAUAUUGAACCAUAAAUAAUUUUUGUCCAAAUGGAUGAACCCAACUACAUCUAUGGCCAAAUUUGGGCUUAACCAGUUGGACAAUGGGCGGCCCAAUAGGAUUAAAUGUCUAGGGUUUGAGAAUUGGGGAAAACACAAUUUUUUUUCUCACGAGUCGUGAGAGACAGAGAGAGCGCUUCUGCGAUUCUUCUUCGAUUCUUCUUUCUCAUUUUCGAUUCCUCUUCCUUGUGUUCGAUUCGUCUUCCUCUUCUUCGUUCUUCUUUUGUUCUCCUUCGAUUCCUUUGAUUCUCCUUCGAUUUCUGAGGCCAAAAACAAUCCUAAUCCCUUCGAUGGCCAGAAACAAGCUUUUGUGGUUGUGGGUCGAGUCAGCACUGGCAUAGAAGCAAAACUAAAGGUGCUUUACGGGUCUGGAGCUAGGAAGUUUGCGAGAAGCUGUUGCAGCUCUUGGUUGACCUCUCACGAAGGUGAUUUCGAAGAUGAAGAUGAGAUUGAGGAGAAUGAAGAUGAAAAUAAAGAAGAACUGUGUUUAAAAUGGCGCUCGCCUUUUGCGCCAUGGCGCGAGGCGCACUCAGGCGACGGCUCCAUCGCCAUGUACCUCCUAGGCGAGGGUGGGUUCCGUAAGGCGCUCGCCAAGUGCGCAUUGGUCAUAAGGCGGUGCCUUAAAAGGCAACGCAAAGGCGAGCCAUGGAGACGAUGACGUUAACCGAUACUAAACCACGUAGAAACCCUAACUUAAUAAAUGGACCAACCUUAAACCAAACUUAAAACCAAACGUCUAAAAACUUAUCAAAACCCUAGCUUGCUCUUGUAGAAAAGCAAAGUUAAAAACUUAACAAAACAUGGAUCUCACGGACUGUGUUUUGCAUAAGGUUAGUACGUACUCUCUUCUCUAAUCUCAUGGGGCUUUCUUCUGAUAAAAACUAUUUAAUAAAGGCAAAAUCACGUGAAUGAAAUUUGUAUAUUACGCACGGAUACAUAACUAACGUAGUCUUCAAGUGGGUCUUCAAGGCGAGCGCUUUCUUGCGCCAUGGCGCAAGGCGCAAGGCACACACCUUAUCGCCUUGGAUCGCCAUGCGCCAUUUAAAACACAGAAGAAGAAGGAGAACAAGAACAAGAAGACGGUGGAAGAAAGAAGAAGAAGAAGGUGGUGACCAAGUGAAGAAAUGAAACCCUCUUUGUUAUAAAACAAUGUUAUGAACUUGUGAACUGAUGUAUUUUCACUUUUCAAUGCUGUGUGAACUUGUGUUUUUUUUAUCACUUUGAACUUAUCUUUUGAAUUUAUCUUGUGUUUUUUUAUAACUUUGAAACAUGAAGUUGAAAACACAAGUAUAUCAAAUUUAUAAAUC